rnacentral:rRNA from 1 species
GACGAACGCUGGCGGCGUGCCUAAUACAUGCAAGUAGAACGCACAGUUUAUACCGUAGCUUGCUACACCAUAGACUGUGAGUUGCGAACGGGUGAGUAACGCGUAGGUAACCUGCCUGGUAACGGGGGAUAACUAUUGGAAACGACAGCUAAGACCGCAUAAUAUUAAUUAUUGCAUGAUAAUUAAUUGAAAGGUGCAAUUGCACCACUACCAGAUGGACCUGCGUUGUAUUAGCUAGUAGGUGAGGUUACGGCUCACCUAGGCGACGAUACAUAGCCGACCUGAGAGGAUGAUCGGCCGACCUGAGACUGAGACACGGCCCAGACUCCUACGGGAGGCAGCAGUAGGGAUACUUCGGCGAUGGACGAGAGUCUGACCGAGCAACGCCGAGGGCUUGUACAAGGUCUUCGGAUCGUAGAGCUCUGUUGUAAGAGUAGAACGGGUGUGAGAGUGGAAAGUUCACACUGUGACGGUAGCUGACCAAAAAGGGACGGCUAACUACGUG